AAAACUAAUACGUAUACAUCUCUGUCAGUUUCAUCUGAAGUGACAAAGAAUCAGUGCAGAAUGGGGUCCACACUUUGCAGGAAAAGUUUGCCAACCUGUGCUAUAAAACCUAAGAGGCAAUGAUGUGGACUGUGUAGCAGACAGACUCAACAACUCCUGGAGGUCCAACCUGUACCCACAAGUGACUGUGACAUGUGGGGAAAGAAAGAAGCUUUCUGCUCCUGUUGACGUGUAAUAUUUGAAAGAGGAAGAGGCACGGGGUAAGGACUGGGAG